UACAGAGGGUGCGAGCGUUGUCCGGAAUCGCUGGGCGUAAAGGGCGCGUAGGUGGUGGCUUAAGCGUGCGGUGAAAGCUCGGAGCUCAACUCCGAGUCGGCCGUGCGAACUGGGCUCACUGGAGCAUAGUAGAGGCAGGUGGAAUUCCGGGUGUAGCGGUGGAAUGCGUAGAGAUCCGGAAGAACACCGGUGGCGAAGGCGGCCUGCUGGGCUAUGGCUGACACUGAGGCGCGACAGCGUGGGGAGCAAACAGG
rnacentral:rRNA from 1 species